AGAGUUUGAUCCUGGCUCAGAACGAACGCUGGCGGCGUGGAUAAGACAUGCAAGUCGAACGAGAGAAUUGCUAGCUUGCUAAUAAUUCUCUAGUGGCGCACGGGUGAGUAACACGUGAGUAACCUGCCCCCGAGAGCGGGAUAGCCCUGGGAAACUGGGAUUAAUACCGCAUAGUAUCGAAAGAUUAAAGCAGCAAUGCGCUUGGGGAUGGGCUCGCGGCCUAUUAGUUAGUUGGUGAGGUAACGGCUCACCAAGGCGAUGACGGGUAGCCGGUCUGAGAGGAUGUCCGGCCACACUGGAACUGAGACACGGUCCAGACACCUACGGGUGGCAGCAGUCGAGAAUCAUUCACAAUGGGGGAAACCCUGAUGGUGUGACGCCGCGUGGGGGAAUGAAGGUCUUCGGAUUGUAAACCCCUGUCAUGUGGGAGCAAAUUAAAAAGAUAGUACCACAAGAGGAAGAGACGGCUAACUCUGUGCCAGCAGCCGCGGUAAUACAAAGGUCUCAAGCGUUGUUCGGAAUCACUGGGCGUAAAGCGUGCGUAGGCUGUUUCGUAAGUCGUGUGUGAAAGGCGCGGGCUCAACCCGCGGACGGCACAUGAUACUGCGAGACUAGAGUAAUGGAGGGGGAACCGGAAUUCUCGGUGUAGCAGUGAAAUGCGUAGAUAUCGAGAGGAACACUCGUGGCGAAGGCGGGUUCCUGGACAUUAACUGACGCUGAGGCACGAAGGCCAGGGGAGCGAAAGGGAUUAGAUACCCCUGUAGUCCUGGCAGUAAACGGUGCACGCUUGGUGUGCGGGGAAUCGACCCCCUGCGUGCCGGAGCUAACGCGUUAAGCGUGCCGCCUGGGGAGUACGGUCGCAAGAUUAAAACUCAAAGAAAUUGACGGGGACCCGCACAAGCGGUGGAGUAUGUGGCUUAAUUCGAUGCAACGCGAAGAACCUUACCUGGGCUUGACAUGUAAUGAACAACAUGUGAAAGCAUGCGACUCUUCGGAGGCGUUACACAGGUGCUGCAUGGCCGUCGUCAGCUCGUGUCGUGAGAUGUUUGGUUAAGUCCAGCAACGAGCGCAACCCCUGUUGCCAGUUACCAGCACGUGAAGGUGGGGACUCUGGCGAGACUGCCCAGAUCAACUGGGAGGAAGGUGGGGACGACGUCAGGUCAGUAUGGCCCUUAUGCCCAGGGCUGCACACGUACUACAAUGCCCAGUACAGAGGGGGCCGAAGCCGCGAGGCGGAGGAAAUCCUGAAAACUGGGCCCAGUUCGGACUGUAGGCUGCAACCCGCCUACACGAAGCCGGAAUCGCUAGUAAUGGCGCAUCAGCUACGGCGCCGUGAAUACGUUCCCGGGUCUUGCACUCACCGCCCGUCA
rnacentral:rRNA from 1 species